UCUGCUUCUAUAUUCAAUCUAAAUAAUUAAAUGCAAUAAGAAAUCUCGAUCAAACUGAUUUGAUUGAAUUGGAUGCACAUGAACAAUCAAUCCAACAGUUGAUAUUUAGUUCAACCAGAAUUAAUCUGCACAUAAUCUUAAUCAAAAUUUACAGACAAACUCAAGAAAAGAUUGCAAAUGUCAUAAAAAAAGACUUACAUAAAUUUAUUACUUUCUCUAUGGUACAUAAGAUUUAUUGGAUCAAAGAUACUAUACGUAGAAAUGAAAAUAAACAUUGUAUGAUCAACAAAUUGGGAUCACAUAUUUAACCAAAGCAUAUGGAACAUGUUAAACACUAAAUUUUGAGCACUAGCUUUUCUUGCCUCUUACCUUAUAUAUAUGUAUUCUCUUCUACUCAUUUUUUGAGUACUUCAACCUCAAACUAAUCAUCAAAGGACUAGAAGGCUCAACAAACAAACCAAAAGUGGCAAGAAUCCAGCAAAACUCGCGCGGCCGUUGGGGGUUGCUCCUGAUCCACUGAAAUUCACAUCAACUGGAUACAGGUUCCCCGGCGGUCCAGUCAUGUAUACAUAUGGUGAUGAUGAUGAUGAUGGUGAUGAUGGUGGUGGAGGACAAUUUGCCGAGGGAGGUUUCUUAGCGGAAUUUUACUUUGAGGAUCCAUGAUUGUUUUGAUGGGAAUUGAUGUGAGAAUUGUGUAAGGAUUAGAAGAAAAUGAGGAAAGUAAAGGAUUUCUUAAGUUGUUAGGUACAUAUGAAAAUGUAAAGUAUGUAUAUGUAAAAGGGACUUUUGGGUUUAGGUAUAUUUAAUUAUGGUUUU
rnacentral:lncRNA from 1 species